UACGAAGGGGGCUAGCGUUGUUCGGAAUCACUGGGCGUAAAGGGCGCGUAGGCGGCUUUGUAAGUCGGGGGUGAAAGCCUGUGGCUCAACCACAGAAUUGCCUUCGAUACUGCAUGGCUUGAGACCAGAAGAGGUAAGUGGAACUGCGAGUGUAGAGGUGAAAUUCGUAGAUAUUCGCAAGAACACCAGUGGCGAAGGCGGCUUACUGGUCCGGUUCUGACGCUGAGGCGCGAAAGCGUGGGGAGCAAACAGG
rnacentral:rRNA from 1 species